rnacentral:pre_miRNA from 1 species
CCUCGCCCUCGCCAGUAGCCGGCGAGGGCCGAGCUCGCCGGAUCUGGCGAGGCUCGGCCUCGCCAGAUCUGGUGAGGCUCGGU